AGAGUUUGAUCAUGGCUCAGAGUGAACGCUGGCGGCGUGCCUAACACAUGCAAGUCGAACGAGAACGGGUUAAAGUUUACUUUAACUGUCAGCUAAGUGGCGCACGGGUGAGUAAUAUAUAGUUAAUCUGCCCCAAAGAAGAGAAUAAUUGUUGGAAACGACUUGUAACUCUCUAUAUGCCUUUAUCACAAAAGUGAGCAAGGGAAACAUUUAUGGCUUUGGGAUGAGACUGUACGGUAUCAGUUAGUUGGUAAGGUAAUGGCUUACCAAGACUAUGACGCCUAACUGGUUUGAGAGGAUGAUCAGUCACACUGGAACUGAGACACGGUCCAGACUCCUACGGGAGGCAGCAGUGGGGAAUAUUGCACAAUGGAGGAAACUCUGAUGCAGCAACGCCGCGUGGAGGAUGACACAUUUCGGUGCGUAAACUCCUUUUAUAUGAGAAGAUAAUGACGGUAUCAUAUGAAUAAGCACCGGCUAACUCCGUGCCAGCAGCCGCGGUAAUACGGGGGGUGCAAGCGUUACUCGGAAUCACUGGGCGUAAAGAGCAUGUAGGCGGAUAGAUAAGUUGGAAGUGAAAUCCUAUGGCUUAACCAUAGAACUGCUUCCAAAACUGUCUAUCUAGAAUAUGGGAGAGGUAGAUGGAAUUUCUGGUGUAGGGGUAAAAUCCGUAGAGAUCAGAAGGAAUACCGAUUGCGAAGCGAUCUACUGGGACAUUAUUGACGCUCAGAUGCGAAAGCGUGGGGAGCAAACAGGAUUAGAUACCCUGGUAGUCCACGCCCUAAACGAUGCACACUAGUUGUUGCCUUGCUAGACAAGGCAGUAAUGCAGUUAACACAGUAAGUGUGCCGCCUGGGGAGUACGGUCGCAAGAUUAAAACUCAAAGGAAUAGACGGGGACCCGCACAAGCGGUGGAGCAUGUGAUUUAAUUCGACGAUACGCGAAGAACCUUACCUGGCCUUGACAUAGAGAGAACUUACUAGAGAUAGUUUGGUGCUAGCUUGCUAGAACUUUCAUACAGGUGCUGCACGGCUGUCGUCAGCUCGUGUCGUGAGAUGUUGGGUUAAGUCCCGCAACGAGCGCAACCCUCGUGUUUAGUUACUAACAGUUCGGCUGAGGACUCUAGACAGACUGCCUACGCAAGUAGGAGGAAGGUGAGGACGACGUCAAGUCAUCAUGGCCCUUACGGCCAGGGCUACACACGUGCUACAAUGGGGUAUACAAAGAGCCGCAAUACCGUGAGGUGGAGCAAAUCUCAUAAAAUGCCUCCCAGUUCGGAUUGUAGUCUGCAACUCGACUACAUGAAGUUGGAAUCGCUAGUAAUCGUAGAUCAGCUAUGCUACGGUGAAUACGUUCCCGGGUCUUGUACUCACCGCCCGUCACACCAUGGGAGUUGAUUUCAUUCGAAGCGGGGAUGCUAAAAUAGCUACCUUCCACAGUGGAAUUAGCGACUAGGGUGAAGUCGUAACAAGGUAUCCGUA
rnacentral:rRNA from 1 species